GCUGGGAUACCUGGAAAAGCUGGACCAAAGGGAGACAAAGGAGACAAAGGAGACAAUGGGGAACCCUGCCGCUCAGAAGGCUGUCAGCGGGAAGAGGGAAGAGCCAGAAACUGCAAGGAGCUCCAUGAACAAGGAGAGACUCUCACUGGCUGGUACAACAUCUAUCCAAGCACAGGGAAAGUGAUGGUGGUUUUCUGUGACAUGGAAAUAGAUGGAGGAGGCUG